UCCACACCACACCACCCCCAGUGAAAUCCUGGCACCCAGAGAGCUCUCCUUUCAGCCAGAGAUCCCAGAACCAGCCGCUGUCCCCUGGCAAAAGAGGCCCAGGGCUGAGCCCUGGGCAAGUGUCUGCAGACAAUGUACCCCUCCUCUCCUGUUAGUUUCCCUUACCAACAGAAAUCAUUUCCCUCUGCCACCCAAACCAGAUUGCAUCCAAAAGUUUCUCAUAAGCUUAAAAAUGAAAAGCGAAAAAUUGACAACUGUUACACAGAAGAGCCCACAAAUCUACAGCAGCAUAAGGGUGAAGAAGCAGCGACAGACCCAGAGCAUGUGAGAAGUGGAGUCCUAUGAUUCCUCAUGACAAACCCACCAGAACUACUGUGACCUCAAGCUCCUUUAUAUGCCGAAUCCCAGGCAUUCUGGCUAUGACGUGAUUCUUAAUACGUUCCCUCAAACAGAGACUUUCCG